rnacentral:rRNA from 1 species
AUUGAACGCUGGCGGCAGGCUUAACACAUGCAAGUCGAGCGGAGAUGAGGUGCUUGCACCUUAUCUUAGCGGCGGACGGGUGAGUAAUGCUUAGGAAUCUGCCAUUUAGUGGGGGACAACAUUCCGAAAGGAAUGCUAAUACCGCAUACGUCCUACGGGAGAAAGCAGGGGAUCUUCGGACCUUGCGCUAAAUGAUGAGCCUAAGUCGGAUUAGCUAGUUGGUGGGGUAAAGGCCUACCAAGGCGACGAUCUGUAGCGGGUCGGAGAGGAUGAGCCGCAACACUGGGACGGAGACACGGCCCAGACUCCUACGGGAGGCAGCAGUGGGGAAUAUUGGACAAUGGGGGGAACCCUGAUCCAGCCAUGCCGCGUGUGUGAAGAAGGCCUUAUGGUUGUAAAGCACUUUAAGCGAGGAGGAGGCUCUUUUGGUUAAUACCCAAGAUGAGUGGACGUUACUCGCAGAAUAAGCACCGGCUAACUCUGUGCCAGCAGCCGCCGUAA